GACGACCGGCGCACGGGUGCGGAACGCGUAUGGAACCUGCCCCUGUCAGGGGAAUAGCCCAGAGAAAUUUGGAUUAAUGCCCCAUGGUACCAUUCGGACACAUGUCCUUAUGGUUAAAGAUUUAUCGGACAAGGAUGGCCAUGCGUACCAUUAGUUAGUUGGUAAGGUAACGGCUUACC
rnacentral:rRNA from 13 species